ACCGAUUAGAGGGGGUUCGAUUCCUUCCUUUCUU
rnacentral:tRNA from 2 species